rnacentral:lncRNA from 1 species
GAGGUAAGAAGGGUCAGAAUCAAGAUUCAAACUAGCCUUCUGAUGCCACUUCACAAUUAUACAAAAUGGUGGCUGGUAUCCUUUGUGUCUUGGUUAUUCAGUAGGCAUUUCAAAGACCAUCUUCUGACCACUCCCAGGCACACAGCAAAGACCCAGGAGUCCCUCUAACACCCAAUCCAGCUCCUACUGGAGAAGAAUAGGCUCAAGGCAGCCACAGUGAGCCUUUCUCUCUCUCUCUCUCUCUCUCUCUCUCUCUCUCUCUCUCUCUCUCUCUCUCUCUCUCUCUCUCUCUCUUCUCUCUCUCUCUCUCUGUCUCUGUCUCUGUCUUUCUCUCUGUCUCUCUUUUUCUUUCUUUUCUGCCUCUGCCUCCCCCCCUCUUUCUCUCUCUUCCUCUCUCUUUUUCUUUCUCUUCUAUCUCUGUCUCUCUGUCUGUGGGGCCAAGUCUUGGUCUCUGAGCAGCUUGACCUUCAGAGUGACCUGGGGAUGCUUUUGUUUCUGCCUGUUCUCCCAGAGUGCCUGGCACAGUGUCUGCUUAAUAAGUAUCUGUACCGUGAAUGAAUAAAUGAAUGACAUCACUUCUUGGGACCAGAACUGAACCAACUUCCCCCUUUAUGCCCCUUCUCCUUUUCUAGGACUAAGAGACCUGUUUAGAGUUUAUUUACACUCACCAUUCUGUCUCUGUUUCUCUCUUUCUGUCUCUGCCUCUGACUCUCUCUCAUUCUUUCUCUUCUGUCUCUCUCUGCCUCUGUCUGUCUCCUCUCUGUCUCUCUGUCUCUGUGUCUCUGUCUCUCUCUGUCUCUGACAUUUUCUGCUCUUGGAUAUCCUCUGCUAUCCCUGCUCAGAUUUUGAGGAAAUCAAUGACACAAAUGUCCACCCAUGGAAUUGUCUUGUGAACACCCUUAGUCUGCUGCUGGAAUCUUUGAAUAGCCAUCAGACUGGGCUUGAAGCCUGGGUAGUGUAGACAAAGAAUCCUGUAUGGACUCUGUCCCUUGCCACUGAACACAGAUGUGAUGUUGGGGCUACAGGCAUUCUCUCACUGAGCCUCAGUUUCCUCAUCUGUAAAACAUGAGGGUGAUCUCUAAGGUUCCUUCCAUCUCUUAAGUCUUAUGGCUUCCUUGGAGGGCUCCAAAUAAAAGUCAGAUGACCAUUUGCCGGGGUUACCA